UACAGAGGGUGCAAGCGUUAAUCGGAAUUACUGGGCGUGAAGCGUGCGUAGACGGUUAUUUAAGUCAGGUGUGAAAGCCCAGGGCUCAACCUUGGAAUUGCAUUUGAGACUGAAUAGCUAGGGUGCGGAAGAGGGAAGCGGAAUUUCCGGUGUAGCGGUGAAAUGCGUAGAUAUCGGAAGGAACACCAGUGGCGAAAGCGGCUUCCUGGUCCAGCACCGACGUUCAGGCACGAAAGCGUGGGGAGCAAACAGG
rnacentral:rRNA from 1 species